rnacentral:tRNA from 1 species
AAAAUUUUAAGUUAAUUAAACUAUUAACCUUCAAAGUUAAAAUUAUACCCUAAUAUUAUAAAUUUUA